UACGGGAGGCAGCAGGGGGGAAUAUUGCACAAUGGGCGCAAGCCUGAUGCAGCCAUGCCGCGUGUAUGAAGAAGGCCUUCGGGUUGUAAAGUACUUUCAGUCGUGAGGAAGGUGUUAAGGUUAAUAACCUUAGCAAUUGACGUUAGCGACAGAAGAAGCACCGGCUAACUCCGUGCCAGCAGCCGCGGUAAUACGGAGGGUGCGAGCGUUAAUCGGAAUUACUGGGCGUAAAGGGCACGCAGGCGGUUAAUUAAGUUGGAUGUGAAAUCCCCGGGCUUAACCUGGGAAUGGCAUUCAAGACUGGUUAGCUAGAGUCUUGUAGAGGGGGUAGAAUUCCACGUGUAGCGGUGAAAUGCGUAGAGAUGUGGAGGAAUACCGGUGGCGAAGGCGGCCCCUGGACAAAGACUGACGCUCAUGUGCGAAAGCGUGGGGAGCGAAACAGGGAUUAGGAUACC
rnacentral:rRNA from 1 species